UACGUAGGGUGCAAGCGUUAAUCGGAAUUACUGGGCGUAAAGCGUGCGCAGGCGGUUUUGUAAGUCUGUCGUGAAAGCCCCGGGCUCAACCUGGGAAUUGCGAUGGAGACUGCAAGGCUUGAAUCUGGCAGAGGGGGGUAGAAUUCCACGUGUAGCAGUGAAAUGCGUAGAGAUGCGGAGGAACACCGAUGGCGAAGGCAGCCCCCUGGGCUAGCACUGACGCUCAGGCACGAAAGCGUGGGGAGCAAACAGG
rnacentral:rRNA from 1 species